rnacentral:rRNA from 1 species
GAUGAACGCUGGCGGCGUGCCUAAUACAUGCAAGUCGAGCGAACAGACGAGGAGCUUGCUCCUCUGACGUUAGCGGCGGACGGGUGAGUAACACGUGGAUAACCUACCUAUAUUACUGGGAUAACUUCGGGAAACCGGAGCUAAUACCGGAUAAUAUAUCGAACCGCAUGGUUCAAUAGUGAAAGACGGUUUUGCUGUCACUUAUAGAUGGAUCCGCGCCGCAUUAGCUAGUUGGUAAGGUAACGGCUUACCAAGGCGACGAUGCGUAGCCGACCUGAGAGGGUGAUCAGCCACACUGGAACUGAGACACGGUCCAGACUCCUACGGGAGGCAGCAGUAGGGAAUCUUCCGCAAUGGGCGAAAGCCUGACGGAGCAACGCCGCGUGAGUGAUGAAGGUCUUCGGAUCGUAAAGCUCUGUUAUUAGGGAAGAACAAAUGCAUAAGAAACUAUGCACGUCUUGACGGUACCUAAACAGAAAGCCACGGCUAACUACGUG